AUCCUUUCAUGAUUCACAAAUGUGAUGGAGGUUUUGCACCAUUGUAUGAGCUGUGUCUUUCUCAGACCUUGCUACAGUGUUGGCACAUUACCCAUCAAAUG